ACUGCUCAGUAACACGUGGACAACCUGCCCUUAGGACGGGGAUAAACCCGGGAAACUGGGUAUAAUACCCGAUAGGUCUCGAUUGCUGGAAUGCAUCGAGAUUUAAAGCUCCGGCGCCUAAGGAUGGGUCUGCGGCCUAUCAGGUAGUAGUGGGUGUAGCGUACCUACUAGCCUACGACGGGUACGGGUUGUGAGAGCAAGAGCCCGGAGAUGGAUUCUGAGACACGAAUCCAGGCCCUACGGGGUGCAGCAGGCGCGAAAACUUUACAAUGCUGGCAACAGCGAUAAGGGAACCUCGAGUGCCAGGUUACAAAUCUGGCUGCCGAGAUGCCUAAAAAGCAUUUCAUAGCAAGGGCCGGGCAAGACCGGUGCCAGCCGCCGCGGUAACACCGGCGGCUCGAGUGGUAACCGUUAUUAUUGGGUCUAAAGGGUCUGUAGCCGGCCGGAUAAGUCUCUUGAGAAAUCUGGCAGCUUAACUGUCAGGCUCUCAGGAGAUACUGUCUGGCUCGAGGCCGGGAGAGGUGAGAGGUACUUCAGGGGUAGGGGUGAAAUCUUGUAAUCCUUGAAGGACCACCAGUGGCGAAGGCGUCUCACCAGAACGGACCUGACGGCAAGGGACGAAAGCUAGGGGCACGAACCGGAUUAGAUACCCGGGUAGUCCUAGCCGUAAACGAUACUCGCUAGGUGUCGGCCACGGUGCGACCGUUGUCGGUGCCGUAGGGAAGCCGUGAAGCGAGCCACCUGGGAAGUACGGCCGCAAGGCUGAAACUUAAAGGAAUUGGCGGGGGAGCACCACAACGGGUGGAGCUUGCGGUUUAAUUGGAUUCAACGCCGGAAAUCUUACCGGGACCGACAGCAAUAUGAAGGCCAGGCUGAAGACUUUGCCGGAUUAGCUGAGAGGUGGUGCAUGGCCGUCGUCAGUUCGUACUGUGAAGCAUCCUGUUAAGUCAGGCAACGAGCGAGACCCCUACC
rnacentral:rRNA from 1 species